UCGACGUGAAAUGAACAUCUUCAGUGCCAA
rnacentral:sRNA from 1 species